GGAGCUCAACAAACCUCCAGUUCAUGCUUUUCUGCCGGCCUUUUUCCUCUCAUUCUUGCUCCAUUCUGUGGAGUCCUGGAGUCAAUGUCGGUCUUUGGCGGAGAGCUGCGGGCGUACGCUUUUUAUUCGGCUCGGUGGGAACUUGGAAGAGCCCUGCGUCCAGCUCGCAUACCGGGGACGGCGCGGGGACUGCAGGCGUGGGGGUACCUGGCUCCUAGCAGCCUGGCUCAUACUCAGCCGUAAAGUCCCCUUCGCUGGUCCCGAGGACGGGCAUGAAUCCGGGCUCCGGAAGGCGGUCACUACUCCCUCUGCUUCCCGGCUCUCGCUGUGGCUCUCGCUCCCUCGCUCGCUCGCUCUCUCCCUCUCUCGCUCGCUCACUCGCCUGCGCUCUCCUCCUCCCCCCCGCGCCAGAUCAGUUCGCAGCCGUGGGGACCGGGAGCGAGGCGGCUGGCGAAUGGAGAGGGAAGUCCGAGUGCGCCGCGGUCUCCGGGCGGGGAGCAGCA